GGGGAGAGGAAGGCACCGAGGCGCCUUCCCAGCUCCUGGCAGCAGCACAAGUGGCACGAGACGUAUCUUCGUCUUGGGGCACGGUCGUGAGCAGAGAGCAGCUCCUAGACGCUCAGAGAGCGGACGGCCUUUGUCAGCGGGUGUCUCAAUGGUUAGCUGAGCAGGACUCGGCAGGCACCGGAACGACUGACGGACGGCACGACUCCUAUCUGCUGGGCGAGGAUGGCAUCCUGUUCAGAUACAUACCCCAGGCGGAUGACGAUGACGGCUCAUCCCCAUUCAGAGUCGUGGUGCCACGGAAGUUGCUCAGCACCACCGUGAUUGGGAUCUUCGCCUGGCUGAACUGGCGUUCGCUACACGGACAACAGUAAACAGAUCCACAGGCUUCACCCCGGCGUUCCUGAACUUGGGACGAGAGGCACCUUUCCCAGUGGAGAAUGCUCUACGCCUCCGGGAUGGCAGUACCCAGCCUCCUUAUUCAAGGUUUGCUGAGGACCUCCGGAGUCGACUGGACGAUGCAGCCCGGACGGCUCGGGAGAACCUGGACGUCGCAAGGUUGGACCAGGCUCGCCAGUACAACCGUGGACGUCGGAACCUCACCUACAGCGUCGGUGACCUCGUCCUUCGACGGACUCACCCGCUAAGUGAUGCGUCACGAGGCUUUGCAGCUUCACUCGCAGAUAGGUGGGAUGGCCCCUUCGAGGUAAGUGCGUGCCCCUCCGGCCUCACUUACAGGCUUCGUCGCUGCAACACCGGCGAAGAGACUGGGCCAGUUCACAUCUCGGACCUGAAAACUUAUCACCUCCGGGACCCGGACGGAGACGAGACCGACCUCCCGCCUCCUCCCCUGCAGGACUCGGACCAGGGAGCCCCUCCCGGACCUGCAAGACGUCGCUACAACCUACGUCCCCGUAGACAGCGCACGUGACGCCACCUCAUCGGCCGCUAGUUUCUAGUGCUCUCGAUUUGGUUUGGUAUUUUCGCUAAUUAUCUGUCUGUCUUCCGUUUUCACGACUGUUUACGAUAAUUAGUGUUGUGCGAGGGCUGGACAGACCCUCUCGGCUGGGAGUUCCCUCCUGACCGUUCCCUUCUUUUAUCAUUUUUUUAAAGAUGGCUCCACGUCACAACCAGACCGGCCGGAGCAGUAGCCGAGGGUGCUCCCGCCAGAGGACACAGAGGCCCACCAACACCCCUCCAGUGACGCCUCCUUCGGCCAGGCCACCGCAGCCUCGACGACGCUUGCCUCCGAGGAACAUUGCUACAUGGACCGUGGUUUCGGAUGGGUACCCGGUGGCAUGGGCCUCCCGGUCGCGCUGGGCCUCCCAGCACCAACCCUUGCGCGGCGAUGACCUCAACGAAGUGCCUCGGCCCUUCAGGGGCCUUUCGUUGGAGGAGAGGCAUCCGGCGGACCCUCUCUCCCCCUUGUCCGAAGAGGAACGGCGGGCACUCUGCCCUAUGUGUGCGGUGCCGGAGAUCCACCGAUCCGCUCAUCGCCGAGGACGCCUACAUCAGUCCCGGCUCGAUGCAGCACGCGCAGCACGCAGGGAGCGUGCGGCGGCGAACGACAUCGCGGCGGCUGUCGCACUCCUCCAGCGCCAACGCCCAGACCUCCUGAACGUUCCGGCCGCCCCUCCACCCCGUCUUCCCGAGGACUGCGUCAUCGAUAUGCCGGACGACGUGUGAGGACCGCUCGACUACCUGACCCUGGUCGCCGCUUGGUGCGGCGUUGGGACCUCCGGGGGCGAGGCCCCACGGACUUUCCGGUGGCUACUGCCAUUUGUAGACGUCAGGUCGACCUCUGGUCCUUCUUCACAUGAACUUUUCGUCUCUUCAUCUUCUGUUAGUGAGCGGGUCGCCCAGU